UCGGGAUCAAAAAUAUGGAGAGCCUAGCGAAAAUCACGAGUUCCAGUCCUCACACAGACACAGUCGGUGUCAUAUGACUUCAAAAGUCUUGUAAUGUAUCAUACAAGACAUAUGGACUUGUUUUAUGUUUUUUUUUUCUUGACAUUCACCCCUAUCCAUUGUUUUUCACUGGAAAAGACGACCAUGACGUUAUACUUUUCUCUCCUGUAUACUGGGUAAGAAAAGACAAGAGGGGACUGUCGGAAAACUGACAGAGACACUGAGAUGAGAGAUUGUGCAUUAGAAAUGGAUUGCAGUUCAUUUCUGUUCCAGUUCUGUAUCUGCAGUGGAAUUACAGACCUCCAGGUGGGAAACAUAGAUGAAAGAGCUGGAGAAUCUGGAAUGUUCGAUGGGAUUUCAGCAUUUGGGGGGCCUCAAACAGUACCCGAGAGCUGAUCUGAAAACAGCAGCAGGAGGCCUUUGCUUGCAAAGCGAGCAAGAGAAAACAACAAAGAGAAAGAGGAAGAACGAGCGAAGAGGUGGCAGAGAUAUCAUGCUUCUCAGUGAUGUUACAUUGCCAAAUCUGGCUCCUCAACAAACACAAAGACUCCCCUCAGGGAUGCUGAUUUUACCCAUUAAUUCCAGAUUAGCAGAGUGGACAUGGUGGAUUCUGCCAACUAGAAGCCGAUGUAUAAUUUGGAUACGGGACGCAAGGUGCCAUAGCUUCAUUUAGAGGGAGAUACAGAUGGAAUGUUAAGGGGUGAGAGGUCCUUCGGAUACAGAUGGCUGAUCUAGAGGUGUUGACCAAAUUGGUUUAGAAGGCCUACACGAAGUCCUGAGAUGUCCAUUUGUGAGAUGAUUCCAUUACACUCUGCCUCUCUUUAGAGCUGAAAACUUGGCAGACUCCGGAGAACUUCUGAGGAGAACCAUCCAUCAGUCAUAGUUAGGACUAAUGAUGUGUCCAUUUUGACACUUCAGAAUCAGUCACGGCAAAUUGCUCUGUCGGGAGGGAAAACAUUGAGAGAGAUAGCCUCGCCCUGAUAUAAUUUGUCGCUGCAAAUGACAAAACAGAGCAGAGAAUAAUAUGUGAAGUCAAGUUUAGUGAGAGAGAAAAUGGAAAAAUUUAGGGUUGUGAGGCACCUUAAUGGAUAUCCUUGCAGCUAGAUGAAAAUGGGCUCGAGUAAUGUGUCCUUAAUGUGAGCCAGCCGGGUUUCUCGGAGUGUAUCAAGAGAAAGGUGCCCUGUCAUUUCGGCUAGCAAUCACUUAAUGGGGACGGUAAAUCUCAACAAAAUGGACAUGCACUGUGCUAUUUCUGGCUUCAGCAGAUGGAGUGAGUGAUUGGCUCUGGUGAAAGGGAAAAAAAAAUAAAACAACGGAGGGGAAAAGUAACUUGGAAAAAACAAAGAGGAGGACUCAAAGAGCAAAAAAAGCAAUCUCUUCCGUCUGGGGUUUGUGUGCUGUUUGUGUUUUGCAAAAGUGCAGAGACAGUGACAGGAAUUUCAAUUAUCUAAUUACGGCAAAAUGAAAAGACAUAAAUGUUGUGAUUUCUGCUGUCUUUCAUAGAUCAAUCUAAUGUGCGCUCACAUUGAAAAUCCAGCAAAAUGGAAGAGGCAAAGUGAGGCAGCGUCUCUUCAAAUCAUGCAAUUAAAAUGACAAAUUAGUUUCUUGAUAUAUUCAUCUAAGUGGUUAAGUGGAAGGGUUUUAUUCCAUACUCAGUGCCGUCAAGCAGGGAUGGGAGGGAGAAUCGUCUGCAUGCUCUUUUGAUUAAGGCAGCCGCUUAAAUGCCGGGAAAAUGUUGAAAGCACUUGCCAUACAAAUUAGCCAACCGAAGGCUGCGAAAUGAAAUUCUAAAGAGUUGAUUUAGGCAUUUAGGGGGAUGCGCCUGGCAGCUUAAAGGAUUCAAAGACAUUUCUCAGGCAGUGUGCAUUAUGUUGGAGGGGUCAGGGCUGAAACUGGUUUGUGUUUUGUACCAUUAUGAAAGGGCAAACCACUGAAAAGGAGACACUGGAAACAGAAAUUAUUUCAAUAUCCUUUUGAUCCAAGAGUAAACUGGAGGAGUUAUUAGCUGAACGUGGCUAUAAAGAAAAUUCAUGAACUGUCUGUCAGUCAAUCUAUCUAUCUAUCUAUCUAUCUAUCUAUCUAUUUUAUUCUAUCCAUUCUGUCUAUCCAUUCUAUCUAUCUAUCUAUCUAUUUUAUUCUAUCCAUUCUAUGUCUAUCCAUUCUAUCUAUCUAUCUAUCUAUUUUAUUCUAUCCAUUCUAUCUGUCUAUCCAUUCUAUCUAUCUAUCUAUCUAUCUAUCUAUCUAUCUAUCUAUCUAUCU